AUCCCGUUGACGAGUCCCAAAUAGGAAGAAAUGCGCAUCCUGGAU
rnacentral:hammerhead_ribozyme from 1 species